rnacentral:rRNA from 1 species
CCUACGGGAGGCAGCAGUGGGGAAUAUUGGGCAAUGGACGCAAGUCUGACCCAGCAACGCCGCGUGAAGGAAGAAGGCUUUCGGGUUGUAAACUUCUUUUAAGGGGGAAGAGCAGAAGACGGUACCCCUUGAAUAAGCCACGGCUAACUACGUGCCAGCAGCCGCGGUAAUACGUAGGUGGCAAGCGUUGUCCGGAUUUACUGGGUGUAAAGGGCGUGCAGCCGGAGAGGCAAGUCAGAUGUGAAAUACGCGGGCUCAACUCGCGAACUGCAUUUGAAACUGCUUCCCUUGAGUAUCGGAGAGGUAAUCGGAAUUCCUAGUGUAGCGGUGAAAUGCGUAGAUAUUAGGCAGAACACCAGUGGCGAAGGCGGAUUACUGGACGACAACUGACGGUGAGGCGCGAAAGCGUGGGGAGCAAACAGGAUUAGAUACCCCAGUAGUC